rnacentral:lncRNA from 1 species
UUAGGAGUGAGGCUAUGUAGAAUAGGUAAAUAAACUUUGUGGUAAGUUACUAGUUGCUUAUUGACAAUCUUGAGAAUUAGACUGAUGGUUAGGUAGUUUAGUUGGUAACAGUACGUUGUUAGUAGAAUAAAUGGUUAAGAAUUCAAAGGAUCAUAACCUUUGGAAUCCGCUGGCCGACGGAUCAUCUUUUUGGUAGGAUAAAUAGGUUGAAGAAAGAAAGUCGAGUGCCAUACUAUGAGAGUCGUAAGUUGGGAUAAGCUUGGUCCUACCUCUUUGUUUUCUUUGCUUUUAUUAUUUGCUUAUGAAGAAUUGUGAUUGAGAGAAGUAUUAUUGAAUUGAUAGUCAUAGAAUGGAUUAUGUGUUGAAUCAAGAUGGAAGUAGUAAGCUUUAGUAUUUUGUAGUUUAUUAAUUGAUUUUAGAUA